rnacentral:rRNA from 1 species
UGCGGAGGAUCCGAGCGUUAUCCGGAUUUAUUGGGUUUAAAGGGAGCGUAGGCGGGUUGUUAAGUCAGUUGUGAAAGUUUGCGGCUCAACCGUAAAAUUGCAGUUGAUACUGGCAUCCUUGAGUACAGUAGAGGUAGGCGGAAUUCGUGGUGUAGCGGUGAAAUGCUUAGAUAUCACGAAGAACUCCGAUUGCGAAGGCAGCCUGCUGGACUGUAACUGACGCUGAUGCUCGAAAGUGUGGGUAUCAAACAGG